GACGAACGCUGGCGGCGUGCCUAAUACAUGCAAGUAGAACGCUGAAGGAGGAGCUUGCUUCUCUGGAUGAGUUGCGAACGGGUGAGUAACGCGUAGGUAACCUGCCUGGUAGCGGGGGAUAACUAUUGGAAACGAUAGCUAAUACCGCAUAAUAGUAGAUGUUGCAUGACAUUUACUUAAAAGGUGCAAUUGCAUCACUACCAGAUGGACCUGCGUUGUAUUAGCUAGUUGGUGGGGUAACGGCUCACCAAGGCGACGAUACAUAGCCGACCUGAGAGGGUGAUCGGCCACACUGGGACUGAGACACGGCCCAGACUCCUACGGGAGGCAGCAGUAGGGAAGCUUCGGCAAUGGACGAAAGUCUGACCGAGCAACGCCGCGUGAGUGAAGAAGGUUUUCGGAUCGUAAAGCUCUGUUGUAAGAGAAGAACGAGUGUGAGAGUGGAAAGUUCACACUGUGACGGUAUCUUACCAGAAAGGGACGGCUAACUACGUG
rnacentral:rRNA from 1 species